GUGGGGAAUAUUGGACAAUGGGCGAAAGCCUGAUCCAGCCAUGCCGCGUGUGUGAAGAAGGUCUUCGGAUUGUAAUGCACUUUAAGUUGGGAGAAAGGGCAGUAAGAUAAUACCUUGCUGUUUUGACGUUACCGACAGAAUAAGCACCGGCUAACUUCGUGCCAGCAGCCGCGGUAAUACGAAGGGUGCAAGCGUUAAUCGGAAUUACUGGGCGUAAAGCGCGCGUAGGUGGUUUUGUAAGUUGGAGGUGAAAUCCCCGGGCUCAACCUGGGAACUGCCUCCAAAACUGCAUGACUAGAGUACGGUAGAGGGUAGUGGAAUUUCCUGUGUAGCGGUGAAAUGCGUAGAUAUAGGAAGGAACACCAGUGGCGAAGGCGACUACCUGGACUGAUACUGACACUGAGGUGCGAAAGCGUGGGGAGCAAACAGGAUUAGAUACCCGGGUAGUCC
rnacentral:rRNA from 1 species